CUUUUUUUUUUUUUUGGCUGAGGGAGAUAUGACCUGAGCUAACAUCGGUGCCAGUCUUGCUUUGUUUUGUAUGUGGGUCACAUGGCCGCUGACAAGUGGUGUGGGUGCACACCCGGGACCUGAAUUGGGCCACAGGGCCAGCCUCCUCAUUUACUAAUAAUAAUUUUUUUUUUCUUUUUUAAGAUUAGCACAUGAGCUAAUAUCUGUUGCUAGUCUUUUCUUUUUUCUUCUCCUUUCUCCCUGAAGCCCCCCAGUAAUAGUUGUAGAUUCUAGUUGUAGGUCCUUCUGGUUGUGCUAUGUGGCAUCCCACAUGCCACAACUAGAUGGACCCACAACUAAAAUAUACAACUAUGUACUGGGGGAGAUUUGGGGAGAAAAAGGAAUAAAAAAAUUUUUUUUUAAAUGUGUAUACAAGGUAAUUUGACAAAAUUUGAAUAAUGUGUUUGAGUAAAAAAAGAUGAAGUGCAUUGUAUGAUCCUAGCAUCUUGGAAGCUCAUACUAUCAGAUCUUGGAAAAUUAGCCAUCACCCCUCCUUAUUGACCCCUCUUUUCUCCACUACUGAUGACUUUCAUGCCUGGCCCACCGCUUUCCUUUCCACUCAUGCCUCUAUCAGAUUUCUUAGAGACUUCAGCAUCCUCAUGGAAGACCUAUCCAAAAUCUUGGCCUCAUUUUCCUACCGGCCAAUGAUUUUGUACUAGAGACCAUUGCCUGCCCUCAGGCCCACUGCGUUGCACAACCUUGGUGGGCACUUAUAUAGAUUGCAUGUGCUUAGUGUCCCUGGUUGUGUGACACACCCCUGCCCUUCCUGGUGUUAUCUAGGCCUUGCUUUAGUGGAGGAGCACAUUCUCUGAGAUUUGCCUUUCUGUCAGGCAGCUCUGGAAACCACAGCCCAGGCCCCAGGGGUUCCAGACUUCAUGUCCCAACUCCAGCAGUCCUGGUGGGCAGCUGGAGAGCAUGUCAGAUGUGAGAGCGUAGGAUUGUGGGAAGCAGAAGUCACACACUUACAAGAUGCUUGACCUUACCCAUUAGUUAUCCCCUGAGCAAGUAAAGGACUGUUUAUGCUUUGAGGCUAAUCUAUUUAGGUAACAUUUUCAUCCAAAUCUAAAGGGUGAAUUCCUAAAAAGGGCAACAAAGUGAUUGCAAAGAAGGCUUCAGAUCUGUCUACAGUCCGUCUACGAUGGGAGUUGGUUUAUUCCAGGUUCCUUGGCCCAAUUUGAGAAAUUAGUUUGCUUAUUCAGUUGUUGGUUUAUUUCACAAAUAUUUAUUCCAUGCCUACCAUGUGCCUGGCGCUAGGCUAGGCAUUGUGCAUGCAGAAACAGAUGUCCUUACCUAAUGAAGCCAAACGGUAGAGUGGGGUGGGGACAGUGGUGGUCUAUUUAAAGACUGCCCCCAAAUAAAGUUGCAAAUGUGUGAAAUCCUGGGAGAGCCUGUGAGAGGGGAUUUGAGUUCCUCAGGGAGGUCAGGGGAAGCUUCCCUGAGGAGGUGAUGCUUGAGCUGCGAUCUGAUGCUUGAGGAAGUGUUAACCAAGCAGAAGGAACAGCCUGUGCAAAGCCUCCAGAGCAGGAAAGAGCGUGGAAUAUAAGGCCUGAAAGUCCAGUGUGUGUGGAGUCAAGAGGGUGAGGCUGCAGGAGGGCAGGGGCUGGAGCGUACUGGACCUUGCUGUCUCCUCUAUUCUAGGAAUGAUUGGGAAACAUAGGGUUUUAGGUGAGUGGAGGAAAGAGAGUGGUGCAUGAUAGGAAUUGCAUUUUGAGAAAUUCCCUCCUGCUGCAGGGUGAAGAUCGGA
ensembl:lncRNA